rnacentral:rRNA from 1 species
AAUCAACGCUGGCGGCGUGCCUCAGACUUGCAAGUCGAACGAUUAAACUUUCCUUCGGGAAAGAUAUAAAGUGGCGCACGGGUGAGUAACACGUAAGUAAUCUACCUUCGAGUGGGGAAUAACAUCGGGAAACCGAUGCUAAUACCGCAUAAUGCAGCGGCAUCGCAAGAUGACAGUUGUUAAAGGAGCAAUCCGCUUGAAGAGGAGCUUGCGGCAGAUUAGCUAGUUGGUAAGGUAAUGGCUUACCAAGGCUUCGAUCUGUAUCCGGCCUGGGAGGGCGGUCGGACACACUGACACUGAAUAACGGGUCAGACUCCUACGGGAGGCAUCAGUCGGGAAUUUUGGGCAAUGGGCGAAAGCCUGACCCAGCAACGCCGCGUGAAGGAUGAAGUAUUUCGGUAUGUAAACUUCGAAAGAAUGGGAAGAAUCAAUGACGGUACCAUUUAUAAGCUCCGGCUAACUACGUGCCAGCAGCCGCCGUAACAC